AUUGAACGCUGGCGGAAUGCUUUACACAUGCAAGUCGAGCGGCAGCGCGGUCUUCGGACUGGCGGCGAGCGGCGAACGGGUGAGUAAUACAUCGGAACAUGCCCAGUCGUGGGGGAUCACACUUCGAAAGAAGUGCUAAUACCGCAUACGUCCUGAGGGAGAAAGCGGGGGAUCGCAAGACCUCGCGCGAUUGGAGUGGCCGAUGUCAGAUUAGCUAGUUGGUGGGGUAAAGGCCUACCAAGGCAACGAUCUGUAGCUGGUCUGAGAGGAUGAUCAGCCACACUGGGACUGAGACACGGCCCAGACUCCUACGGGAGGCAGCAGUGGGGAAUUUUGGACAAUGGGGGCAACCCUGAUCCAGCCAUUCCGCGUGAGUGAAGAAGGCCUUCGGGUUGUAAAGCUCUUUCGGCAGGAACGAAACGGUGAGCUCUAACAUAGCUCGCUAAUGACGGUACCUGAAGAAGAAGCACCGGCUAACUACGUGCCAGCCGCCGCGGUAACAC
rnacentral:rRNA from 1 species